rnacentral:lncRNA from 1 species
CCCAGCGUGAGUGACACAGAAGACGGGUGAUUUCUGCAUUUCCAACUGAGGUACCAGGUUCAUCUCACUGGGGAGUGCCAAACAAUAUUCUUUCAGAUCCUGCAUACUGAAACUACUGAUGCCAGCUGGUCUGUAGGAUUCUAUGAGAAGUUGACUCACCAAUGAAUGAAGUUUCCACAUCCUGAUGAUCUCAUCCCCUUGCCACAAUGAAUCAACAGCCCCAAUUUUCCAGCCCCUUGCCCUCCAAAAUCUCCUUAAAAACCCCAGUCCAGAACUCCCCGGAGGAUAUGGAUUUGAGGAUUCCUCUCGUCUCUCUACUUGGCUGCCCUGCAAUCAUUAAACUCUUUCUCUGCUGCAAACCAUGCUGUCUCAGUGUAUUGGUCUAUUA